rnacentral:rRNA from 1 species
UACGUAGGGGGCAAGCGUUGUCCGGAAUCAUUGGGCGUAAAGCGCGUGUAGGCGGCUCGGUAAGUCCGCUCUGAAAGUCCGGGGCUCAACCCCGGGAGGCGGGUGGAUACUGUCGAGCUCGAGUCCGGAAGAGGCGAGUGGAAUUCCUGGUGUAGCGGUGAAAUGCGUAGAUAUCGUAAGGAAGACCAGUGGCGAAGGCGGGUCUCUGGACAGUUCCUGACGCUGAGGCACGAAGGUCAGGGAGCAAACGGG